rnacentral:rRNA from 1 species
AAAUUGAAGAGUUUGAUCAUGGCUCAGAUUGAACGCUGGCGGCAGGCCUAACACAUGCAAGUCGAACGGUAACAGGAAACAGCUUGCUGUUUCGCUGACGAGUGGCGGACGGGUGAGUAAUGUCUGGGAAACUGCCUGAUGGAGGGGGAUAACUACUGGAAACGGUAGCUAAUACCGCAUAACGUCGCAAGACCAAAGAGGGGGACCUUCGGGCCUCUUGCCAUCGGAUGUGCCCAGAUGGGAUUAGCUAGUAGGUGGGGUAACGGCUCACCUAGGCGACGAUCCCUAGCUGGUCUGAGAGGAUGACCAGCCACACUGGAACUGAGACACGGUCCAGACUCCUACGGGAGGCAGCAGUGGGGAAUAUUGCACAAUGGGCGCAAGCCUGAUGCAGCCAUGCCGCGUGUAUGAAGAAGGCCUUCGGGUUGUAAAGUACUUUCAGCGGGGAGGAAGGGAGUAAAGUUAAUACCUUUGCUCAUUGACGUUACCCGCAGAAGAAGCACCGGCUAACUCCGUGCCAGCAGCCGCGGUAAUACGGAGGGUGCAAGC